GUUGAAACUAUUAUUUCGGGUGCUGUUUGAGUUUCUGUAUUAUGUGAAAAUUGAACAACAGUAGGAGUAACACUGUUUACAGGUGUGGGGCACCAUCUGGCACCUAGUUCUGCACAAGUUAAAACUCUUAAUUUAGCUUGAGAUCCUGAAAAAUUUUUACUUAUAGCUACUGUAUCAAGACUUGGGAUACAAAUUUCCGGAAUAUCAGAAGCAUCUUGCAGUACUAUCCAACUACCUGAUGUUUCUCGGCUGUCGGUGUACACUGACUGCUUGAAGAGAUCCUGGACCUGGACCCUUAUGAUUUGGUGGGGAUGUAUAACUAACCACUUGAAGCGACUU